rnacentral:rRNA from 1 species
AAAACGGGUGGUAAUGCCGGAUGCUCCAGUUGGAUGCAUGUCCUUCUGGGAAAGAUUCAUCGGUAUGGGAUGGGGUCGCGUCCUAUCAGCUUGAUGGCGGGGUAACGGCCCACCAUGGCUUCGACGGGUAGCCGGCCUGAGAGGGCGACCGGCCACAUUGGGACUGAGAUACGGCCCAGACUCCUACGGGAGGCAGCAGUGGGGAAUAUUGCACAAUGGGCGCAAGCCUGAUGCAGCGACGCCGCGUGCGGGAUGACGGCCUUCGGGUUGUAAACCGCUUUUGACUGGGAGCAAGCCCUUCGGGGUGAGUGUACCUUUCGAAUAAGCACCGGCUAACUACGUGCCAGCAGCCGCGGUAAUACGUAGGGUGCAAGCGUUAUCCGGAAUUAUUGGGCGUAAAGGGCUCGUAGGCGGUUCGUCGCGUCCGGUGUGAAAGUCCAUCGCUUAACGGUGGAUCCGCGCCGGGUACGGGCGGGCUUGAGUGCGGUAGGGGAGACUGGAAUUCCCGGUGUAACGGUGGAAUGUGUAGAUAUCGGAAAAAAACACCA